rnacentral:misc_RNA from 1 species
CGCACAUUGCGCCCAUUAGUAUUCUAGUGGGCAUGCCUGUUCGAGCGUCAUUUCAACCCUUAAGCCUAGCUUAGUAUUGGGAAUCGACUUUAGGGUCGUUCCUUAAAUUCAACGGCGGAUUUAUAGCAAUCUCUGAACGUAGUAAUUUUUAUCUCGUUUUUGAAAUACUAUAAACCUCAGCCGCUAAACCCCCAAUUUUCUAUGGUUGACCUCGGAUCAGGUAGGAAUACCCGCUGAACUUAA